rnacentral:rRNA from 1 species
AGUGAACGCUGGCGGUAGGCCUAACACAUGCAAGUCGAAUGGCAGCACAGUAAGAGCUUGCUCUUACGGGUGGCGGGUGGCGGACGGGUGAGGAAUACAUCGGAAUCUACUUUUUCGUGGGGGAUAACGUAGGGAAACUUACGCUAAUACCGCAUACGACCUACGGGUGAAAGCAGGGGAUCUUCGGACCUUGCGCGAUUGAAUGAGCCGAUGUCGGAUUAGCUAGUUGGCGGGGUAAAGGCCCACCAAGGCGACGAUCCGUAGCUGGUCUGAGAGGAUGAUCAGCCACACUGGAACUGAGACACGGUCCAGACUCCUACGGGAGGCAGCAGUGGGGAAUAUUGGACAAAGGGCGCAAGCCUGAUCCAGCCAUACCGCGUGGGUGAAGAAGGCCUUCGGGUUGUAAAGCCCUUUUGUUGGGAAAGAAAAGCAGCAGGUUAAUACCCCGCUGUUCUGACGGUACCCAAAGAAUAAGCACCGGCUAACUUCGUG